rnacentral:rRNA from 1 species
UACAGAGGGUGCGAGCGUUAAUCGGAAUUACUGGGCGUAAAGCGCGCGUAGGCGGCUUUGCAAGUCGGGUGUGAAAUCCCCAGGCUUAACCUGGGAACUGCAUUCGAGACUGCAUUGCUAGAGUAUGGGAGAGGGAAGUGGAAUUUCCGGUGUAGCGGUGAAAUGCGUAGAUAUCGGGAGGAACACCAGUGGCGAAGGCGGCUACCUGGCCUGUUCUUGACGCUGAGGCGCGAAAGCUAGGGGAGCAAACGGG